CAAGCAGUGGAAUAUGUGGUUUAAUUCGAAGCAACGCGAAAAACCUUACCAGGUCUUGACAUCCGAUGCAUAUCCUAGAGAUAGGUGAAGUCCUUCGGGACAUCGAGACAGGUGGUGCAUGGUUGUCGUCACCUCGUGUCGUGAGAUGUUGGGUUAAGUCCCGCAACGAGCGCAACCCUUAUCGUCUUUUACUACGCAAGAGGACUCUGGCGAGACUGCCGUUGACAAAACGGAGGAAGGUGGGGAUGACGUCAAAUCAUCAUGCCCUUUAUGACCUGGGCUACACACGUACUACAAUGGCGCUUAACAAAAAAAACCGAUACCGCAAGGUGGAAGAAAACUCAAAAACAGCGUCCCACUUCAGACUGCAGGCUGCAACUCGCCUGCCCAAACUCGGAAUUGCUAGUAAUCGCGGAUCAUCAUGCCGAGGUGAAUACUUUCCCGGGCCUUGUACACACC
rnacentral:rRNA from 1 species